AACACAAAGAUAUUGGAAUAUAUUAAACACUAUUCCAAUAUUUCAUUAUAGAAGGAGCUCUAGAUGUUGCUAGCAAUUUCAUCGCAAAUAUCAUGCUUGUUGCGACUAUG